GUUUGUGGAUGCAUGUGAACGUUCUGUGUUGAAACAGCAGCUUUUGACUCACUAACGCUGCUAAAAACCAAGAACUCCUUUAUUUGUGACUUCCACUAAAAAAACUGAUGAAAAUAAGUUUGCCAGGGUUCUGACUGAGAACAGAUUAUUAAAUAAUGAAAAUAAUCAUUUAAAUAUUCCUUUAAACAAUCCUUUUAGGUCCACAUUUCCUUUACACUGACUUCUUGGUAUAUGUACAAGUAUUUUGGUUGGAAUAUACCAUUAAACUCACCUUUUAGGUCUACAUUGGAGGAUUUUAGGUGGAAUUUUCUUCCAAACCGUCUUUUAGUCUACAUUAAAGGAUGUUUAGGAUGGUAUAUUCUUCCGAACCAACUUCUCAGGUCUACAUUUCAGGUGGAAUAUUCCUCCAUACUAACUUUUUUGGUCUACAUUGAAGGAUUUUUUUCUAAACCACCCUUUCGGGUCUAUAUUUGAGGUUUUUGGUGGAAUAUUCCUUUUAACCAGCCCCUCAGGUCUCUUUGAGGAUUUUGGAUGGAAUACUCUGUUAAACCAACAUUUUAGGUGCAUGUCCAAGGAUUUUUGGUGAAAUGUUCCUUUAAAGUGGAUGUUUGAGGACCUUGUCGGUGGAAUACU
ensembl:lncRNA